GCGGAGCGGAGCCCCCGCGCGCCGGCGCCGUGACGUCACGCCUGCGGAGCUGCGGCCGCCGGGGGCCGUGAGGGGCGCGGGGCGGCGGCAUGGCGGAGAGCGAGGCCGAGACCCCCAGCACCCCGGGGGAGUUCGAGAGCAAGUACUUCGAGUUCCACGGCGUGCGGCUGCCGCCCUUCUGCCGCGGGAAGAUGGAGGAGAUCGCCAACUUCCCCGUGCGGCCGAGCGACGUGUGGAUCGUCACCUAUCCCAAGUCCGGCACGAGCCUGCUUCAGGAGGUGGUCUACCUGGUGAGCCAGGGCGCCGACCCCGAUGAGAUCGGCCUGAUGAACAUCGACGAGCAGCUCCCGGUGCUGGAGUACCCACAGCCCGGCCUGGACAUCAUCAAGGAAUUGACGUCUCCCCGCCUCAUCAAGAGCCACCUGCCCUAUCGCUUCCUGCCCUCCGACCUCCACGACGGCGACUCCAAGGUCAUCUACAUGGCGCGCAACCCCAAGGACCUGGUGGUGUCCUACUACCAGUUCCACCGCUCGCUGCGGACCAUGAGCUACCGGGGCACCUUCCAGGAGUUCUGCCGGCGGUUCAUGCAUGACAAGCUGGGCUACGGCUCCUGGUUUGAGCACGUGCAGGAGUUCUGGGAGCAUCGCACGGAUGCCAACGUGCUCUUCCUCAAGUACGAGGACCUGCACCGGGACCUAGUGACCAUGGUGGAGCAGCUGGCCAGAUUCCUGGGUGUGUCCUGUGACAAGGCCCAGCUGGAGUCCCUGACCGAGCACUGCCACCAGCUAGUGGACCAGUGCUGCAAUGCCGAGGCCCUGCCUGUGGGCCGGGCACAUUGCCUGUGUGCUCAGAAGAGCUCCCUGGGCUGAGAGGGGCAGGGUCGGGUGGCCGCCCGCACUGCCUGCCCUCGGUUCAUUGUCUGAGUCCAAAUCCUCUGUCAGGGCGCGUCGGGCUGUGGAAGGACAUCUUCACCGUCUCCAUGAACGAGAAGUUCGACUUAGUGUACAAACAGAAGAUGGGGAAGUGCGACCUCACGUUUGACUUUUAUUUAUAAUGACGGAGGUGGGAACUUGCAUGCGGCCCGUCGCUCCUCCUCGCUAACGUCCUGUAUGCAUUCGUUUAUUCCCGGCUGGACACCCUGGAGCAGCGCGGAAGCUGCCGGGGCGGACCCCGCGGAGAGCCCGAGGGUGCCGCUCCCGCCCGCCGCUGCGGCUCACCCACCCGCCCGCCCGUAGUGUUCGAAGUCUCCACGUGUCUGACACCAACCUUAUAAAUACAGCCUCCAUGGGGAGUCGCGCCCUCCGCAGACAGCUCUGGCCUCUGCCCUGGGCAACCUCGUCUACUUACUGUAUUUUCUAGAGCUUUUCAUGGAAAUCUAAAUAAAUAUCAGUAAACCAAAUAAAAGUUCUGUUCCGAGGGGCAGCACGAGUGAGCCACCGCCUGGGGCGAAGCUCCGUGCCUCUUUGGGCAGUCAGUCACCUGAGGCCUCACCUGGCGCUGCCCCUUGGUUCCAGGUCCCCGUGAGAACUGGGAUGAGGUGGGUGGGGUGCGGGGAGCUGGAAGGGGUGUUGCUGCUGGAGUCCAGUCCUUGUGGCUUCCGGCAGGGGGCGCUCCGGAGCUUCUACCUGCACACGAGGGUCCCCUGCUGGCAGAGCCUCCAAAAGCAGACAGUGGAAAGGCUGCUGCAUGGACACCCGGACGCCCGGCCUGGAGUCAGGUCCCGCAGGCUUCCUGUUGUCCCCUGAAGCAGUGGCACACUUCAGCGAGAAAGGCUUAUGCGUAGCACAGCAGCUCUGUAAGUCCCGGUCCUUGCUUCUGAGUUUGCUCCCGUGCCUGACGCUGUCCGUCGAGACUCCUUUUGCAAGUUGAGGCCCCCGUCCACCAUGCCUGGCGCAGUGGUCACGGCUGUGCUGCCUGCCACUUGCUUCCUUUCUGGCCCGAGUUUGGCUGGAGGAGGAUGGGGAACUGGCCAGGCGGGAGGUGCUGCUGACGGGCGCCAUCCGGGCGGGGCAGGCCGCCUGUGGGGGACCCUGGCUGUGAAGCAGGUGCAGGUAGGAGCUGAGUCUCCAUCUGAGGAGAAGCCAGGCUGGGCCGAGGCCGGGGCACCUUUUCUGUGUCUGGGAGGGAGGCUGCUUUCUGUGAAAUUUCCUUUCUAUUUUUCUAUUUUUAGUACCGUGUGGAUGUGACUGGGCACCUCACGUGGCACCCUGUGCUUGCUUGCUUCUGUAAUAAAGACACCUGCCCUGCCA